rnacentral:tRNA from 1 species
CGGUCCGCGGCCUGGGCGCCGUCGUCGACUCCGGCGUGCCGCGCGCCGCCGUGUGGCUGGAGUUCGACCCGCCGCGGGUCGUC